rnacentral:rRNA from 1 species
UACGAAGGGUGCAAGCGUUAAUCGGAAUUACUGGGCGUAAAGCGCGCGUAGGUGGUUCAGCAAGUUGGAUGUGGAAAGCCCCUGGGUCGUCAACCCUACGGGAACGUAGCAUCCAAAACCUAACUGAGCUAGAGUACGGUAGAGGUAGUGGAUACCUCGUGUAGCGGUGAAAUAGCGUAGAUAUAGGAAGGAACACCAGUGGCGAAGGC